rnacentral:lncRNA from 1 species
ACUUCAGCCAGAGAGCGGGGUUAGGGCUUCAUUGCCUUGUGUCCUCUGCUCCGGGAGACUUCGGUGAUUCUGCCACUCCCUCCGUCGCUCUGUGACCUGCUGGCAUUGAAUGAUUUAUAGCUAAGACUCCAGGACACCCCUGAAGCCGAGAAAUGAAAUCCCAAGUUGACCGUCAAGUCCAACGCUCGCUGCAGACAUCUAGUGGACCCGGCGCUCGCGGACGGAAGCGGACAGACCUAGUUGGAUCCUUAUCCCACCAAUCUGGCCCACCUUUGCUGCCAUCUAACUCCGCUGACCGGCCCACCGUUCCUCCACUGUUCGCUGGUUGACCCGGGCAGCGGAGAGAGGAGGCGGCACCAACAGAAGGCUUCUGCAAAGCUGAGAGCUCCUUUUACCCAUGGAUCAGGAGCAGAGUUUGCAGCUACACUGUCAGGCUGUGUUUGGAUGUUAGCAGUUAGUUUAGCUUUGCGUCUUCAGAGCAAUUGUUCUUAGCUACUUAAAAAAAGAAAAGAAAAGAAAGGAAAAUUUAAAAUUUUCUUCAUUGAUCAUUCAGGAGCAUGUUUAAUUUCCAUGUAUUUGUACAAUUUCAAAAGUUCACCUUGUUGUUGACUUCUAGUUUUAUUCCAUUGUGGUCAGGAAAGAUACUCGAUAUAAUUUCAAUUAUUUUAAAUUUGUUGAGACUUGUUUUGUGGCCUAACAUAUGGUCUAUUCUGGAGAAUGUUUCUUGUGCUGAUGAAAGAAUGUGUUUUUUGCAUCUGUUGGAUGAAAUGUUCUGUAAAUGUCUCUUUGUUAGUCUAAAAUGCAGUUUUUUGUUUUUUGUUUUUUUAGGAGAGUCUCACUCUGUUGCCCAGGCUGGAGUGCAGUAGCAUGAUCUUGACUCACUGCAACCUCCACCUCCCAGGUUCAAGCAAUUCUCAUGCCUCAGCCUCCCAAGUAGCUGGAAUUACAGAUGCCCACCACCACACCCAGCCAAUUUUUGUAUUUUUAGUAGAGACAGUGUUUUACCAUGCUGGCCAGGCUGGUCUCAAACUCCUGGCCUCAAGGGAUCCGCCUGCCUUGGCCUCCCAAGGUGCUGGUACUAUAGGUGUGAGCCACCGCAUCCAGCCUAAAGUACAGUAUAAAUCUAAUGUUUUGUUUUUGAUCUUCUAUCUAGACAAUCUGUUCAGUGCUGAGAAUGGGGUAUUGAAUUCCCCAGCUAUUGUAUUGGCAUCUAUAUCUCCCUUUAGACCUAAUAAUAUUUGGUUUAUAUUAUAUAUCUCGGUGCUCCAGUGUUGGGUGCAUAUAUAUUUAGAAUUGUUACAUCCUUUUGCUGAAUUGAUCCCUUUAUCAAUAUAUAAUAACCUUCAUCUUUUUUUAAUCACUUUUGAGUUAAAGUCUGUUUUAUCUGAUAUGAGUACAGCUACCCUGCUUGCUUUUGGUUUCUGUUUGCAUGGAAUAUCUUUUUCCACCCUUUCAGUCUAUGUGUGUCUUUACAGAUGAAGUGAGUUUCUUGUAGGCAACCUAUAGUUGGGCCAUGUUUUUUAAUCCAUUCAGCCAGUCUAUAUAUUUUAAGGGGGGAAAUUUAAUCAGUUUACAUUCAAGAUUGUUACUGAUAGGUGAGGGCUUCUGUCAUUUUGUUAAUUAUUUUCUGUUUUUUAAAUAUAUCCUUUGUUCCUUUCUUCCCCUCUUAUUGUUCAUCCUUGUAAUUUGGUGGUUUUCUGUAGUGGUAAAAUUUCUUUUCUCUUUCUCCUUUGUGUAUGUGCUGUACCAGUGAGUUUUAUACUUUUUUCGUGCUUUCUUGAUAGUAACUAUCAUUUCACUUCCAGAUGUGGGACUCUGUUGAGCAUUUCUUGUAAGGCUGGUCUAGUGGUGAUGAAUUCUGUCAGUUUUUGCUUGUCUCAGACAUGUCAGGCAUUUAGCUUCAGGACCUGAUUCUAGUUCCUGCCCUGUGGUGACAAAUAGAAACAGAUCCCUGGUACCCUGCUUAGGUACUAAGCCAGCUAGAUGAGAGCAGAUGAAAAAAUCAAAUCUUUCUAUUUUGCCAGGGAUUAAUUCAUUCCCAGGAUUGUAAAUAUUACAUUUCACUUUUCAUCUCACAGAACUGUGAGGUUAGAAAGUGAGCUGGGCAGCCUGCCCAGAAAGACAUUAUGAUGUAUACAACACAGUGAACUACUAAGGAGGUGUCUUUAAAGGCAUUUACAGCACAUAGCUUUUAGUUUUCCUUUUAAUUUUGCUGCUCUUUAUUUGUAGUAGUAGAUAAGGAAUUAAGAAAGCAAAAAUAAGUGCUUUGACUAGGUCUUUUGCCUUUGAAAAUAGCAUUAGUAAAAUCCUCUCUUCUUUUUUAUUCUUGUAAACUUCACCUAAUUCACUCUGCCCCCCAGCCCAUCUGUGUUCACUUGCUGUUCUUGCUGCUGUCAGUUUUUAAAAGCUUACUCUAAAAUUACAUGAAAGCAACCCCAUUUUGACAAAAUUAGAAUUCUGGUAGCGAUGGCUUACCAUGAGGCUGUUGAGAGAGGCCCAGGAAGACUUUUGUUCUUUUUAUUUCAACCCCUCUCGGUUAAACCUACAAUUUGGUAGGUGAUAUAAUUACCUCCCUUGGACAGGUCUGUAUCUCUGCCUUGGAGAAAUAACAAAGUCCAAAGUACUCUCCUCAUUCAAAGAUGUUGCAAAUGAAAGCUGUUUUGAUCUUCAUGUAUUAGCAUUUGAGUUUUAAUCUUUCUGGGGCUCCUGGCAGAAAAUUUCUUUAAAUUUAUUAUAUAAUUCUAAAAUAUUGGACAUAUUUGUUUCACGCAUCUGUCAAUAUCCUUAUUCUUUUCAUUAAACUCUCCACUGCCCCCAUUAGUCAUCAGGUCCUACUGAUUUUUAACUCCUAAGUAUUUCUCAAAUCUGUCUCCUCAGUGUGUAUUGUUGGUUAUAUAACUCCAUCUCCAUUGUCACUGUGCUGCUUUAGAGUAUCUUUUCUUGUCUAGAUCAGUGCCUGGCUUAUAUUAUGAGCUUCGAAAAGUUGGAUCAAUGAAUGAAUGAUUCAUAAUCUGGACAAGUGCACUCUAACACUUGACUGAAAAACAAAAUCUUAGAUCUAUCUUCCAUGUAAAAGCAUCUAUCUAAAAUGCAAAUCUUACUUUGAUAAUCUCCAGCUUAAUAGCUUAGAUGGCUCCCAGGCAUCCCCAAAACCAUCUCUCAAUUCACUGAUCAAAAAAAUAAAACUUAAAAAUUUUAAAACUAAAAAAAAUUGAACAUUUCAUUGGUCAAAAAACAAACAAAAAAAAGAUCUCUGAGCAUGCCUCAGUCACACCCUGCCCUGCUGUGCACCCCUCUCCAAACCCCAGCCUACAGGGACCACCCAAUAACCUCUUCUUUGCUACAUAACCCUUACCCUCCUUCCUCAAGACUCAUAUAUUCUCCUUAGAAACUUGCCCCCCACUUCCUGGAAACAGUAGAUUCUUUUUUGCUUAUGGUUUUUGUAAUGACAUCAGCCAUUUAGAACUCAUGAUGUGCCCAGGCCCCACUAUCUGCCUUUCCACAGAUCUUGCUCAGACAAUCCAUCAGGAUUUAGUCACAGAUCCAAAGUAAGGAGCCAGAGGGGAGCUUCAGGCUUGGUCUCUUUGGGUUGAAGCUAGAAAACUAAUCUAUGCUGAACACAAAAAAGAAGCUGAGUAAUAGCCAACCUACACAUCCUAGGAAUAACUAUUGUUUUUUUUGCCCCCAGCCAGUCUCUCCGCAGUCCUCUCUCCUUCUUUACAUUUCUUUUAAACACAGUAUGUUAACACAACACUGUGUAAGAACUGGGAUUCAGAAAACCAAGAUAUAGGUCUCCACCAGCUAUGCUAUUGUGUCCAGAAUUGAUGGGUUCUUGGUCUCACUGACUUCAAGAAUGAAGCGGUGGACACUCUCAGUGAGUGUUACAGUUCUUAAGGUGGGGCAUCUGGAGUUGUUUGUUCCUCCCAUCUGGAGUUGUUCAUUCCUCCUGGUGGGUUCAUGGUCUCGCUGGCCUCAGGAGAGAAGCUGCAGACCUUCGCGGUGAGUGUUACAGCUCAUAGAGACGGUGUGGACCCAAAGAGUGAGCAGCAGCAAGAUUUAUUGCAAAGACCGAAAGAACAAAGCUUCCACGGUGUGGAAGGGGACCCCAGCGGGUUGCCACUGCUGGCUCGGGCAGCCUGCUUUUAUUCUCUUAUCCGGCCCCACCCACAUGCUGCUGAUUGGUCCAUUUUACAAAGGGCCAAUUGGUCUGUUUUACGGAGAGCUGAUUGGUCCAUUUUGACACGGUGCUGACUGGUGCAUUUACAAUCCCUGAGCUAGACACAAAAUUCUCCACUUCCCCACUAGAUUAGCUAGAUACAGAGUGUUGAUUGGUGUAUUUACAAACCCUGAGCUAGACACAGAGUGCUGAUUGGUGCAUUUACAAACCUUGAGCUGGAUACAGAGUGCCAAUUGGUGCAUUCACAAUCCCUUAGCUAGACAUAAAGAUUCUCCAAGUCCCCACCAGAUUAACUAGAUACAGAAUGCCAAUUGGUGAAUUCACACUGAGCUAGACACAGGGUGCUGAUUGGUGUAUUUACAAACCUUGAGCUAGAUACAGAGUGCUGAUUGGUGUAUUUACAAUCCCUUAGCUAGACAUAAAGGUUCCCCAAGUCCCCACUAGACUCAGGAGCCCAGCUGGCUUCACCCAGUGGAUCUCGCACAGGGGCCACAGGUGGAGCUGCCUGCCAGUCCCUUGCCAUGCACCCGCCCGCACUCCUCAGCCCUUGGGCUGUUGACGGGACCAGGUGCCAUGGAGCAGGGGGUGGCACUCGUUGGGGAGGCUCAGGCCACACAGGAGCCCAUGGCGCAGUGGGGGAGACUCAGGCAUGGCAGGCUGCAGGUCCCAAGCCCCGCCCCACAGGGAGGCAGCUAAGGUCCGGGGAGAAAUUGAGCACAGCACCAGUGGGCCGGCAUUGCUGGGGGACCCGGUGCACCCUCCACAGCUGCUGGCCCUUGUGCUAAGCAUAUCACUGCCCGGGGCCAGCCAGGCCAGCGGCUGCUCUGAGUGUGGGGCCUGCCUAGCCCACACCCCCCUGGAACUCUCACUGGCCCACAAGUGCCUUGCACAGCCCUGGUUCCCGCCCGUGCCUCUCCCUCCACACCUCUCCGCAAGCUGAGGGAGCCAGUGCCAUCCUCGGCCAGCCAAGAAAGGGGCUCCCACAGUGCAGCAGCAGGCUGAAGCGCUCCUCAAGCGUGGCCAGAGUAGGCGCCGAGGCUGAGGAGGCACCGAGAGUGAGCCAGGGCUGCGAGGGCUGCCAGCACACUGUCACCUUUCACUAUGAGUUAGCCAUGAAAACUCUCUGGGCCUCAUUGACUAAAUCUGUAAAAUCUGACUUUAUGAGGAUUAUAUUCAUUGAACUCUGAGGUCCUGUCCAUUUCUUACACCCUGAUUCAAAGACUGCAUAUAACCUCUAACCCAGAUGUUCUUAACUAGGCUUCUUGUAUGUCUGGGAAGAUGAUGAAAGAACUUCAAGGGGAUCAUGAGCUCUUUAACUUCUAUGUAAAAUCCAAGGCUGGGCAUGGUGGCUCACGCCUGUAAUCCCAGCACUUUGGGAGGCCAUGACAGGUGGAUUACCUGAGCUCAGGAGUUCAAGACCAGCCUGGGCAACGUGGUGAAACCCCAUCUCUAUUAAAAUACAAAAUAAUCAGCCAAGUGUGGUGGCGCGUGCCUGUAGUCCCAGCUACUCAGGAGGUUGAGACAUGAGAAUUGCUUGAAUCCUGGAGGCAGAGGAAGUUGCAGUGAGCUGAGAUUGUGCCACUGCCCUCCAGCCUGGGAGACAAGGAGAAACUCUGUCUGAAUAAAUAAAUAAAUAAAUAAAUAAAUAAAUAAAUUAAUUAAUUAAUUUAAUUCUGUGUAAAAUCCUGUGUGAGCUGGCUGCAUCACCUUGCCCCACAGAGGGGGUUUUCUUAUCUUUUUUUCUCUCUUCCAAGGUAAUGAUAGUCUAUGGUUGCCCUACUAUGUACUCUCUUUUUAUUAUUUUAUUUAUUAUUUUAUUUUUUUAGAGACAGGGUCUCACUCUGUUAUCCAGACUGGAGUGCAGUGGCAUGAUUAUAGCUCACUGCAGCCUUGGUCUCCUGGGUUCAAGCAGUCAUCGCACCUCAGCCUCCUGAGUAGCUAGGAUCACAGGCACACCCCACCAUGCCCAGCUAAUUAAAAAAAUAUUUUUUUUUUAG